rnacentral:rRNA from 1 species
UAGGGAAUCUUCCACAAUGGACGCAAGUCUGAUGGAGCAACGCCGCGUGAGUGAAGAAGGCUUUCGGGUCGUAAAACUCUGUUGUUGGAGAAGAAUGGUCGGCAGAGUAACUGUUGUCGGCGUGACGGUAUCCAACCAGAAAGCCACGGCUAACUACGUGCCAGCAGCCGCGGUAAUACGUAGGUGGCAAGCGUUAUCCGGAUUUAUUGGGCGUAAAGCGAGCGCAGACGGUUUUUUAAGUCUGAUGUGAAAGCCCUCGGCCUAACCGGGGAAGUGCAUCGGAAACUGGGAAACUUGAGUGCAGAAGAGGACAGUGGAACUCCAUGUGUAGCGGUGAAAUGCGUAGAUAUAUGGAAGAACACCAGUGGCGAAGGCGGCUGUCUGGUCUGUAACUGACGCUGAGGCUCGAAAGCAUGGGUAGCGAACAGGAUUAGAUACCCUGGUAGUCCAUGCCGUAAACGAUGAAUGCUAGGUGUUGGAGGGUUUCCGCCCUUCAGUGCCGCAGCUAACGCAUUAAGCAUUCCGCCUGGGGAGUACGACCGCAAGGUUGAAAC